CUAUGGGGAACAUUAUGGGAACUAGGCCGCUGUAGAAAACAAGAAACUCAGAAUUACUGUUGCUUUCUGUAACAAUCAACAGGGUAUAUUGUAUGUAGGCUAUUAUGUAAACGCAUCAGGUCAGAAAAUGAGGUGCAUAAUGUGGCUAGACGACAUUCAACAGCUAUACCGUAACUACAGGCCUACUGUAUGUGAGGGGGGAUUCAUGUGAAAUGUUACAGUAUAAAUUGGACGCAUUUUUUGCUGACGGCAUGCUUUUUCAGUUGAGUAAGAGGUACCGCAGGGGGAGCGGACUACCCCUGUCACAUGGUCUGUUUAUUUGUCUGUCUGUGCGGCGAGACACUUUCUGUCACGCGAUUCAUAAGCUUUUCAGGCGACUUCGGCGUUUAAAACAGUCAUGUCUGUGAAGGUGGAGUGUGUGGUGAAAGAGAGGUGUGAGAUCGGAGAAGGGCCAGUGUGGGAGGAGAAAGAAGGAACUCUGCUCUUUGUGGACAUAUCCGGACAGAAGAUCCACCGCUGGAACCCAGCAACCAAUCAGAAAGAGACAGUGGCCACAGGUACUGGUGGCUGAAGCUGACCGCUCUGGCAGAGAAGGAUGACUGGGAGGAGAUGGAGAAAUUUGCCAAGAGCAAGAAGUCCCCCAUUGGCUAUCUAGUAUGUUGUUUAUAUAACCUUUAUACAAAGGUGGGAACACGGUACUCGGGAAUGG